CGUGCUAAUCUGCGAUAAGCGCCGGUAAGGUGAUAUGAACCGUUAUAACCGGCGAUUUCCGAAUGGGGAAACCCAGUGUGACUCGUCACACUAUCAUUAACUGAAUCCAUAGGUUAAUGAGGCGAACCGGGGGAACUGAAACAUCUAAGUACCCCGAGGAAAAGAAAUCAACCGAGAUUCCCCCAGUAGCGGCGAGCGAACGGGGAGGAGCCCAGAGCCUGAAUCAGCAUGUGUGUUAGUGGAAGCGUCUGGAAAGGCGCGCGAUACAGGGUGACAGCCCCGUACACAAAAGCGCAUGUGCUGUGAGCUCGAUGAGUAGGGCGGGACACGUGGUAUCCUGUCUGAAUAUGGGGGGACCAUCCUCCAAGGCUAAAUACUCCUGACUGACCGAUAGUGAACCAGUACCGUGAGGGAAAGGCGAAAAGAACCCCGGCGAGGGGAGUGAAAAAGAACCUGAAACCGUGUACGUACAAGCAGUGGGAGCACCCUUUUGGG
rnacentral:rRNA from 1 species